GCCGGGCAUGGUGGUGUGCGCCUGUAAUCCCAGCUACUCGGGAGGCUGAGGCAGGAGAAUCGCCUGAACCCAGGAGGCGGAGGUUGCGGUGAGCCGAGAUUGUGCCCCUGCACUCCAGCCUGGGUAACAAGAGCGAAACUCCGUCUCAAAAAAAAAAAAAGAAAAAAAAAGUUUGUUUUUUUUGAGAUGAAGUCUUGUUUUGUCAUCCAGGCUGGAGUGCAAUGGCACAAUCUCGGCUCACCGCAACCUCCACCUCCCGGGUUCAAGCGAUUCUCUUGCCUUAG
rnacentral:SRP_RNA from 1 species